UAAGGAGACAUUUUGUUGAUGCUGUUAACAUUUAUUUUUAUUUUUAUUUUUUUGAAACAGUGUUAUUUUGGGCUUGAUUACCUCAUUAUUAUUGGUAAGUUGGAUUUGUAAGUCGAUUGCUUUUAAGCAUCGCCAUCAACCUCACAUAGCUUACUCGUGGGCUUUCUUACAAUGAGACCUAUUAGAUUUUGAUUGAUCGAUUUGGUGAUUGAUACACCAAGUAACUCGAUCCAAAAUCGAUUAAUUCUAUAAAUUCAAAUUCAAGUCUUUUUUCCAAAUUAAUAUAACUUCUAAGAAC
rnacentral:lncRNA from 1 species